AUGCAUUUACUCCUUUCAUGAAAAAUAUCCGAUUCAGUCGUCCCCACAACUUUAGUGGACACGAUGACGAAUAAGUCUGCGGUAGUAGAAAAAACUUUUGAUAGUCUGAGCGAUUACAGUUUGCAGUUUAAUCGAUGGCUACUAAUAUCAAUAGGUGCCUGGCCUGCGUCCACAUCAACAUCGAGACGCGAGAGAAUCAUUUCGUUUAUUUUAAUCGCUCUCUGUUAUGGCUUUAUAUUGUUUACCGUGAUCCCUUGCAUAUUCCACUUUAUUCUGGAAGAUGAAAGUAUUUACAUGAAAUUGAAGGUACUCGGUCCUCUUAGUCAUUGGUUUGUCGGAGGCAUCAAUUACACCAAUUUAUUGCUAAGAAGCAACGACAUUCGUGAUUGCAUACAUCACGUGCAAACUGAUUGGAAGAUAGUAACGAGACCAGAAGAUUCACAAGUGAUGAUGAAAUACGCAAGGAUUGGCCGCUUUGUCGCGGCUUUUUGUGCUACUUUCAUGCAAGGUGGCGUCUUGACAUAUUGCGUGGUGACAGCGUUCGCUACCCAAACCAUCGAGAUCGCCAACGAAACCAGAAUUAUUCACAUGUUACCCUGUGCUGCGUAUAAGAAUUUAAUUCCCGUUGAUACCAGUCCAAUGAACGAAAUUGUUCUCGCCACGCAAUUUAUAUCUGGAUUUAUUGUAAAUUCGAGCGCCGUUGCCGCCAUCACAAUUGGUGCUGUAUUCACAGCUCACGCCUACGGUCAAUUCACUGUCCUGAUGAGAUGGAUCAACGAAUUUGUGAAUCGAUCGGAAGAUCAGAAGAAAGAUGUUGAGUUUAACGAAAUAGGUGAGAUCGUUGAACAUCAUCUCAGAAUUCUCAGCUUGAUAGCAGGUAUCGAAAACGUAUUGACACAAUUCUGUUUCAUGGAAUUGUUAAAAAGCAAGCUUGAUAUAUCCAUGCUAGGAUAUUACAUUAUUACGGAAUGGGCCGAACAUGAUAUUCGGAAUCUGACUACGUAUUUCAUGAUAAUGGCGUCCAUGAGUUUCAAUAUUUUUACCGUAUGUUAUAUCGGCGAUAUAUUGACAGAACAGAGCAAAAAAUUUGGCGAUGUGGUAUAUAUGACAAAGUGGUAUUAUUUGCCUAAUAAAGACAUGUUUGAUUUGAUUCUGAUCAUCUCAAGAUCCAAUUCUGCAAUUAAGAUCACGGCUGGAAAAAUAACUCACAUGUCCAUAAAUACAUUCGGUGAUGUAAUGAAAACUGCGUUCGCCUAUUUGAAUCUGUUGCGUCAAGUGACGUGAUGAUAUGCACCGCUGGCAAAACCUAUGCAUAAAAUUGUAAGACUUAAAACAUAAAGAUUUGCAAAUAUAUCGCAUGACAUUUUUGUACGAAUAUCCUCGAAUAUUAAAUCAAGACAAGUUGGAAAUUUGUCAUCUUACAAUAUAGUAAUAUGGAAAAAUGAUAAAAUUGCUAAUUAGUAUUUAUUGCUAAUAAUAUUGAAAUGUAUUUACUAUCA